rnacentral:lncRNA from 1 species
GAGGGAGAGGUGUUGGUCUGUUUCUUUCUUCAAUCUUUCCAAGUGCCCACCUCUUGCUUUCUUUCUCCUUGUCCUUAGUUGAGGAUGAAUCAGCACGUUGUCUCCACAUGCUUCGAGGUAUCAUCUUCACUUCCCUUAUAAGUGAGAGACAAAGCGAAAACAUAAGAUGAUGAGUACUCGAGAGCAAGAGCUGGCUGGAGAAAGGACAGGGAGAAAGUAUGAUUAUGAGAUACUCGUACUCUCAACCUUUAUGAUAUGAAAUACUUGUGCUCUGGAUGGUUGUUUGCAGGGGUAUCCCAGGGGAUGAAAAAUACAGAGUGACUCGAGAGGGUUUGUUGGAAAGCCAUUUCAGAGAGGAUGAAGGGUUAAGUGAGGCUGAAAGUUGGGUGAGACUGCUUUACUUUGAAGUUCAACAUUUAUAGAAUUUUCUUAAUGGCUGGGAAGGCAUUGUUCCAUUACUCGUGUCGGCAAGCCUGGGAUAAUUUAACAGUAGUUUCCAUGUGCAUUCCGCUUCUCCAAAAAAAUUUCGACAGAUUGCGCGUGAUUUACGCAACGCAGAUGUGCAAAUUGACAGAUGCUGACACGUCUCGAU